CAGGAGGGAUGGGGCUGAAGAUCAGAGCUUGGUUUUGGACAUCUUAGGGCUGAGCUGCCUGCUGGGCAUCCAAGUGGAGAUGUCAGGGAGGCAGUUAGAUAAAUAAGAAUGAAGUCUGGCGGAGGGGUCCAGACUAGAGAUAUGAAUUUGGGAUUCAUGAGUAUAUAGAUGGUAUUUUAAGCCCUGAGGAUAAAUAAGAACCCCGAGAAAUGGUAGGAGAAAGAGAAGAGGUCUAAGGGCAAAACCCUGAGGCCUCCAAUGUGCAGAAAUUAGAAAGCUAUGGGAGAACCCGCAUAGAGAAUGGGAAGAGUUUGGCAUCUGGGAAGCGAGAUGAAGAAUACGUUUUAAGGAGGAAGGACUGAUCAACUGUGUCAGAUCCUGCAAGUGAGAUGAGGACUGAGAAUGGAUCAUUGGAUCAAGCAACACGGAAGUCACGGUGACCUAACGAACAGCGCUGGAGCAGAAUCCUAAAGUCAGCUCAAGAGACAAAGCGGGGUGGGACUGGGUUUGGUAUUCAAGAAUACAGAAAACUUUUUCAAAGAGUUUUGUUUUGAAGAAAAGGAAAGGGAGUGCCAACUAGAGGAAGAAGUGGAAUCAAGAAAGGGUUUGAGGAUUUUCUUAAGAAGCAUGAAAUAAUAGCCUCUUUAUACUCUGAUGGGAAUGAUCCAGCAGAGAGAACAAUUAGGGAGAUGUGAGGGGAAAUUACCAGAGCAAUAUCCCUGAGUGGGCAAGAAGGAUGCAGUCCAUUGCAUCAGUGAGGGUCCCUUGCUUGGAAUGCGGGCACUUCAUCCACCAUAAGAGGAGAUGAGCAGUGCGCAUGGGCACCGAUGUGGGUGGGGGCAUGUGGGAGCUUGCGGAAGCUCCCAAUAUUUUCUAUCAGGAAAAUAGCUCGUCUCUGUUUUCCCAAUGAAACAGGAAGCAAGGUGAUCAGCUGAGAUGAGGCUGUGGAGGAGAUGCUGGUGAAUGAAUCUGUCAUUUGGGAAGAGUGGAUGGACCAGGUGAACAUAGUGUACGUGGUAGGGCCUGCUUGUAGUUAGUCCGCGUGAACUCAUAGAGUGUCCAGGAAGAGUGGCAAGAAUGAAUGAGUGAAUGAGUAAAUCUUUCCAAAGAGAUCAAGAAACCAGAAUCUAGACAAAAAAAGUUUGGCUAGCUCUCUUUCUUCCUCCAAAAUAAGUAACGGCAAUACUGGCCACAACAUGUAAUUGGACACUUAAAGCAGGCUCCUUUUCAGCAGACCUGACACAUCAUCUUGCACACUGCUGACGCACCGUUAAAUAUUUGCUCUCAAAGGAAUAUUUCUCAAACCCAAGCUCACCUUUACCUUCAAGUAGUCACAGUAUCUCAGAACGCAGACUUUAAGCCAGCAGACUGGGGUUUUGGUUCCAACUCUGCCAAUGUCUAGCUCUGUGACCUUCACCUCUCUGCAUCUCAAUUUCCUCAUCCACAAAUGGGAAUAAACAAUGGUAGAACCUAUGUCACUGGGCUGUCUCAAGGAUUAAAUAGCACGUCCCUUGCCUAACACAGUGCCUGUCUUAUAGUAAGUGCUUUACCAAUGACAGGUGAAUUCUGAGGAAGUCAACAGUGGAACCAGGCCAGAGAGAAGACUAGUCUUGGUUCAAGUUCUUUAUCAUAUUUGGAUGACGCCUUUGUGUAUACAGCUCAGAAUAUAUAAGUUUCAUUAUGCAAUUGUUAAGAGUUACUGACCUCUAUCCAAAAGACGGCUCAGCAAACACCUGAUCUACACCCUCUGAGGAUCAGUAAAGCCCCACAGUAGAGACUAUUAUGUCCAUUGAUUAACAAUAAAAAGGCAAAGUCCUGAACCCAAAAUCAGCUAUGUAUCAGUGACUUAGGGCCAACAUGUUUAUUUUCUUUAAGAAAUCUGUUUAAAACACAAACUGUCACAAAGCGCAGUCGUUAAGUCUGGUCAAGAAGUGCAAAACUGAAUAAGACAGUCCUCUUUUUUCAAAGUAAUAAUAGCUAGUAUUUAUCAGCACCUCUGUGCCAGGCACAGUGCCUGUGACUUUUACAACCAAGAGUUGAGUUACUCCUCGUCUCAGCCCUGGUAGUGGCUCCUAUUACUACAAGUGAGGAAAUGAAGACUUCGAGAGGUUCCAUGAUUUGUCCUGGGUCAGGCAGCUUGACCCAAAAGGGGUCUGACCAAAACAAUCCUUUUCCCCCUUUAACUUGCAAGUGAGAUGGGGAAUCAAGGCCAGGCCAAGAGCCUGGAAGGCCUUGCUAGACAGUGACCAUCUUGGCCUUCACCUUCCUGUAGGGUCCUGGAGGUGUUCUGUGUUGAAGGGGAGUGAGGGGGUUACAACCGAGAGCCGGUCUGUGUGAUUCAAUUCCAAAAACUAGGAGGAAGGGGGUGGUAGCUGUUGGAUUUGGUAUAGAACCAGCCAGUGAAACCAGGGGCCAACUAGCUUUAACUAUAGUCAGUUGUCUGUUUGCAGAAGUAGUUACAUAACCCAUUACUAAACUCACCCUAUAGAUGACAUCUCUGGCUUGGGUCAACAUGGUAACGGGUGCUUAAGGUUUUUAGGAACUGAGUGUUGACUCCUUGUCCAGUUCAGACUGGUUAAGACACACUGACUCAUCAACUGGGCCUGCACAGAUGACUGAAAGAUGACCCUUUGACAUCGGGAGGCUGAAAACUCCAACCUCAGAUCACGCUAAGGUCGCCAUUUUGUGAACACGCAUCCUAUGAAGUGCCAUGAAACUUGAUUACACUUGUGCAGAUCAUUGAUUCCUUACUUCCAAUCAUCUAUCCCCUCACUUCAGACCACACUACCUCUUUAUCCCAAAAAUAUCCCUAAUCCCCAUUUUCAGGGAAGCAGACUUGAGAUUUGUUCUCUUGUCUCCUCUCUUGGCCACCUUGUGGACAAACCCUUUCUCUGUUGCAAACUCAUCGUCUCAGUGAUCAUUAUAUCAUGCGGCAGGCAAAAUGAGCCUGGUUUGGUAACACCAGGAUUAAGAUUCCAAACUGUGUUUGUUGUUGUCAAGGUGUCUAUGGCUUUUGAACCUACCCAGAGGAACACUUGAUAAUAAAGCAUUCUAUAUCCAUCUGAAGAAAGGUUCUAAAGGCUCCAAAUGGGAGCAGCCCUAGAAUGAGUGGUCAGAAAAUGUUCCGACUGAAAGAAAAGCUAAAACAGUCUACAUCAACAUGAGCUUAGCCAUCACCAGAAAUCUCGCCAGCAUAAAAGAUGGUUUGAUAAUAUAUUGCAGAUGCGAGGGGUGCCUGCCCACCAGGACAGUGGGUUCAGCAAAUGACCACUGUCGCCUUCCUGCUGGACAGCACACCCAUCCACUGACGCACUGUGAGAAGAAUGUGGACAUGGACUAAUUUUUCUGGGGCGGUGCAGAAUGGCACUGUCAUCUCUUAUUGCACGCAGAGCCCCUCUCAGCUCUGAGGAAAUGGUCCGGGGUCACCACUGGGCAGCAAAAACGCAUCACGCCAAAAGAACAGCUCCGCAUCCAGGCUCUGCCUCCAGGCUUCCUUCAAAUGCAAACCCCAGGUUUUCACGCUUCACUCAACCUACCCGGCCACACUGGCGACAGUCCCAAACCCGGUGUCGCUCUUAUCUCCAGUCACGUGCUCUCAAGGAGCUUGCACAGACUGCUUCUCCUGUGUCGCCCACUGAAGUGACGGAGGGAGGUCUUCCAGGUACAUGCCUAAAAUGACUCUUCCAAGAAGGGCUUGCACGGCUGUGACAACAUUUACAUCAGAGAAAGCGGCCGAAGGCUCAGGAGAUUUCCCGACCUGUCACCUGUGCAGAGUUCCUUGCGCUAUGCUGGGUGAAAUAGGAAACCAGCCCUACACUCCUAAGUGCUUCCAUUUCACUCAGGCACAUCCCCCAAACACUAUGCUGUGUAGCUCUCGCGACAACACUUUCCUGUAGGUGAAACUAAUAUCCCUAUUUUACAGAUGAAGAAACUGAGGCUCAGUUUCUUCAGCUAAACGCUUUCUUACACAAAUCACCUCAGUUAAUUCUCACAUCAGCCGUUUUGUUACGCCCAAUUCUACAGAUAAGCAAACUGAAGAACAGAGAUGCUAAGUAAUUUCUCCAAGGUCAUGCAGUCAGUAUGGGGCACCAGUUGGGACUCCAACCUUCCUUUUUCUCACUCAUUCCAUGCAGAUGUUAGUCUUCAGUUUCAUUACAACCACCCUAAAAAAUAAUAAGGUUGUUUCAUCUCACAUAUAUAAAAGCAUCAUCAUGAGUAAUACCAAUUAUUUUUAAUAGCCCAUGAACCAAUGACAGAGAUUUCACAUGAGAUGCAUAUUUUUGCAGUUAGUUUCUACUUAAAAAGACAGGCCUGGGUGGCCAGGCCCCCAAGUCCAGACACUUACUGGGACUCUCCGCGCCUGGCAGCCUGUUCCUUGCACUGUGAGGAUGAAGCCUUUGGUGGCUGGCAGUGUCUUCCCUCCCUGCACCCCCUGCCCAGCCCUCCCCACGCUGGCUCUACGCUCAGGCCGCCCUUCCUCCCAGGAGGAAGUGGGUUGGGAGGGUAUUUCAGGAAGCAGAGCAGAGCUUUGAAAAGGACAUCUGUACUCAUAGUACCAGAGAGAGUCUAGAAAGCUCACAAGCACAGCUGGCGACUCUCCCGGGAGAGCUCGCUUUGCCUAGAGCUUCUGUCUUUUUGAGCCAGUCAUCCAAGUGAUACACGAUCUCAUUUUCCUCCUUCCCUGUGGAUGAAGAAAUGAGUCACCUGUGAGGUUAGAAAAUCCACGUUUCCAUAGCUGAUGCCUCCGCAUCUCAUCAAGGUCAAGAUGUUGGAGACAAAGCAAGGGCAGCUAUCUCUGCAUCUUAGAUGAUCACUUCCACUCAUAGCAACACAAUAACCAAUAGCAUAAAGACCCUCUUUAGUAUUUCUGGUACAGUGGUUUGUAUCAGCGUGAUAAUCUUGAAAGCCAGGAGCAAUUUUAUCUUUAACGAUUCCAAGAAAACGCAAAGGGAAACAAAACAGUCAGACUAACGCACCAGUGACUGUGCGGUUAGACACACAGUCAGCUCCUUGGUGGGGAUACUUCCAGUAGGUCUAGAAGUCGGUCGUAUUGGCUUUACUCAAACUGAAGACUUGAACUCCAAGGGCUGAUCGUGCAUCUUAGGAGAGCAGCAAAUCUCCUCCUGCCAUAACCCCCGGCCCCUCCAAUUGUAGCCCAGAGUCUCCAGGUUCUCCAGCUGGUCUUGCCCCUCUCCAUCGGCCCAAAGAGGGCUUCCACUGUCCCCGUGACCUCCCGACACGCUCCUCUGCCCACACUUGGGGUUUCCUCCAGCCUCCCACUUGGGUCGGGUAUCAGACAGACCAGCUGGACCCUUAGUUGCAGACUUGCUGCUACCGCUUCCAGGUGGGCUGGACACAGGUCACUGCGAACCUUUCCAGUGUGUGCCAGACUCUGAUCACAGGAUGCGGUAGACCAGGAGGGCGCAAAGCCUCUGUACAAAAGACCCAUGGGAUCUGCAGGCAGUGGUGACGGGCCACCCCGGGGUACCAGGAGACAUACACAAAGCCCUCUAGGAGAUUAUGAUCCCAGUACUCAGCCAUGUGUGGAAAGCACACUCAUGAGCGAGAGCGACAUAAGACAUUAGACCAAUGAGGCAUUGGACAAUAUUUAUACCACGACCAGGGCUAAGAGCACAGCAAAGAGGGAAGACGCAGACAGCAAAGAGAGGCCCGUCUUCCUCUCACAGAGACAGGGCCUGGAGAUGAGGUCUGUCCCCAUACACUCACCGGACAGUCACCGGGCAGCUCCAGUGCAGGGGUUCUGAUUCAGGUCCAAUUGGCCUGAUUAAAGUAACUCUCCCCUGCCCGCCCUCUAUCUCCCUCUACCGGGGAGAGAAAGAGAGGGACAUGGUAGAGAAAGGAAAGGGGAGAAGGCACAGCUCAGCGUGAAAUCACUGCCCUUGGCCAAAAGCUCCACACCCUCAGCCACCCCACAUGUGACCCUGUGUCUACCCGCUCUGCUGUCAACAGACAGCGUCCAGGCCUCGGUCACAUGGGCAAGAAUCGUCACUUCUUAUCUACCAAGAUAGUUCCCUUCCCGAUAUAAACCUGGCCCAAAGUUGCAUUAAGUGGGACCCAUAUUUGGACCCAAACUCUCACUUCAUUUUCUCCCUGCUCCCCAGAUCGCUUCACAGAAACAACAGGUAGAGAAGUGGGAUAUCUUACUGCUUCUUCUGGAACCGUCGAGAUGCAGCUCUUGAAGCAGCUCAUUCCCUUUCCUACCGACACACCACAUAGGCAGAAAGACCUGCACCCUUUCUGCUGAGUGUUAAGAUAAGCUUAAUCCUGUCCAGAGGGCAGUACAGCGUCAAAACAUCUACAAGACCAUCCAGCAAGACAUCCGUCAGGAACUAGGUCAAGUUUGCAGGCUGGGAAACACGAUCUUAGAAUUUCUGGUGAAGGGAAGGCAACAAACAGGACAUGGAGUCAGGACCAUAGAAAGCCAGGAGGUAGACAGAGACAGGCUAGUUGACACAUGGGGGAGGCCAGAUCCCUUGCCAGGUGCGAUCUGCCUUAAAUAACUGGCUGUUCUGAUCCAUCUUUGUUCCCGCUUCCCUGAGCGGCCUCAUCUGUCAGUAUAAAACCCAUGCCUCGCCCUUGGGUUCCCCCACACAGCGAACAGCAUUCUCCUGAAUCAGCCACUCCUUCAAGUCGUCUGCUAAACCCAGACACCAGUGGCAGCGCCAGGGACCUGCCCUUCCAUGGGCCUCACCCCCAACAACAGGACAAAAGGAGAACCUCGCUUCUAAGAUCUGAAAGGGAUGUGUCUGAACAUGGACUCGUUGAAGAUGAUCACAAAAGCGCUUCUUGAGACCCUAAUCCACGAAGUCACCAAAAUAUCAGUGAAAGAAGCAGAUCGCGGUUUAGACAUAGAACAGUUCCUUCAAAGGAGCUACGACGUUCUCGCAUUUACUGAGCCCUGAACUUCUGGGUAUUUUAAAUAAGUUAGCAUGGACAGAAGCAGGCUGUUGUUUUCCUGUUGUCCCUUUGGCACUAAGACAUACAAUCAAGGGGAAAGUUCAGUUUAAAGCGAAAGAUAUUGCCUUGAAGCAGGAAACAGGACAGAGGUGACUGCCAAUGCAGCCAGACACAAAUUGUACCGUGGGCAUCCUGUGUCAGGUUUGAUUUUUAUGAGCAAUUCCUGGCUUGGUAACUCAAGGAGGCCAAGGGCACCCCUGUGGAGCCAGAGAUGGCCUCCAGGGCUGGCCUGGCCAGACUAGUCUGCAGGGCUGACCACAAGCAUCCCAUGGGUCUGCCCCCUAUACCUACACCCCCUCAGCUAGUGGUACCCAGCCGGGUCCAUCCUAUUUACCCAAUCAUGAGGACCUCUUCCCCCAAAAACCCAGGUAAUGGAUCAAAGGAUUAACCUAGAAGAAAAGAAAAAGAACACAAGCCAUGUCCAGUUCUAAACACCCCCCAGUGGAGUGCUGAAUUCUUUAGUAACUGUGACUUAGGUGUGGCAGGUUUAGAGAUCUUUUUAGAAGAGAGAGAACUUUGGAAAGUUCAAGACCUACCGUGGCAAUUAAGUUGGGCAAACCAAAUAGCAGUUAAAAAUACCACAGUUAUGCUGCGCUUGUGGUUCGAACUGCAUUUCCCCAACAGCAUGCCAACCGUAUGACACCCAGGUUUUAUUUUAACCAAUUCUGCUGAGAAAAACACCAGCCUUCAACCUAACAGAGUCAAAAGCCAUGUGUUACGGUUACAUUCUGCUGUAAAAUGAUUAAGCAUUGAACAGGGAAAGCACACAAAGUUAGCAUCUGGUAACUACUUACCCUCCGCCCUGGGGGGUGCCGAACCACCCCCCAGGAAAUGUCAGAGCGCCUUUCUCGCAGUUAGAAACGCCCGCCCAAUCUCCACACUUGGAGCUUGCCUGUAUAUUUGCUCUUGAUCGUUCAAGUAAUACUUUACAAAGGAAAUUACUAAGCAGUCAUAAAGGGCAAAGGGUUAAAUAUUUAUGAAGGCUCACGAUGCCAACGAACUCACUUUCCCCAAAAUGUGCUCAACACAUCAAAGUUCUGUAUCCUUCAUGAAUGACCACUCUGACUUCACAAAAAGAGGAGUGAGCUCUGUAUCCGCCUGUGGCCUCUGCUGGCAAAGGCCCAACUGAAGCAGGUCCGAGAGACCCAGCCCACAGGGGACAAUCUUUCCAGCUCCACCAGCAGCUCGAGGCUCUCUGGGAGUUACCACACCUCUCCAUGUCUGGUUUCCACCCUUUUAAAACGGGCCUAGUGAUUGCACCCUCUCAAAGGUUUGUUAAGAAGAUGAAGACUUGGUGUGGGGAAGGCCUUAGAAUAGAGCCCAGCAUGUAAUGAGCACUAUGUGAGUUACUAUUCUUAUUGUUGGUUUUAUUAUUUGGCCAACAGGGAUUAAACACCAUAGCAGCACCGAAAGCAACGUUCAAGCUCUUGUUUCAGAUAGAAUGAGACCAAAGAAGAAACACUCUCUUCUCUAUUUAUUAUCAAAUGAUAUUCCAGGAAAUCACACUUAUCUAAAACAUACUUACUGAACAGGGAAUAUCUGCUGGACUUUGUGGAGGACACAAGAUAUUAUAAACCAAAGUUUCUACCAUCUAGGGCGUUACAGUCGAAUGAGGAAGCUAGGAUGUACGUGCAUAAGAAACCACACCGAGGGCAGCAUUUGUAAAGUGCCAGCUGAGCAACACUAUAGCAUUUAUUUUUAAUUGAUUUAUAAGUACCAAAGCGCUGAGUAAGCAGAUUGAUUUCAGCCUAAAAUGGGAAACAUCAUGGAGAUGGGAUCUGAGCUGGGCGUUGGAGGAUGGACAGGAUCCUAACUGAGAGAGAAGGAGGGUUUGGGGAAGGAGAAUAUUGGGAACGGUAUUGCAAAACUCAUGGGGCCAUCCGCAAUUUGAGAUGAGAGACUGGGGGGCUUAAGAACGUAAGGUCUGCAGUCAGAGGCCCUCCAUUCAAAUGCUUGUUCAACCACAUGCUCGCUGUGUGUCCAUGGCCAGUUACUUAAUCCUCUUUGUGCCUCUGUUUCCUAAUUGGAUCCCCCUCAUAAGUACUGUCCUGAAGACUAAGAUAAAGCAUGUGAGGAGCUUAACAUAGUUCCUGCACACAGUAGGUCUCAAGGUUAGCAAUUGUGAGAUAUUAGGCACUGGCAAGGAGGCUGCCAAGAGACCCAUCUGUGUGCAGAAGAGAGUUGAAGAGGAAGCUGAAAAGUGGUGCAACUCGACAUUGGAAGGUCAGAGGGGGUGUGUGGGGAGUUGCUUUCAUUCAGGGAGAGACCUGAGCCACCUGAGAAAAGUCAUCUUUAGGAUGGUUCACCUGACAGCUCCAGGCAGCUCGCAAGAAAGUGAAAGCAUCUGGGGACAGAAGUCCAAUAAUAAUGUACCAGGGUCCUUGUGGGACUGGUAAGGGGCUGCCGCUGGGUCCAGGCACUUGUCACAGGAAUAGAAAAGAAGGGUGGAUAUAAGGGACUGGAUUAGGUGGCUCAAAGAGUUGGUGGGAUAUGAGACAUGAGAGAAGGAGGCCAAAACAAACUCCACUGUGGGGCCGGCCUGGUGGCAUAGUGGUUAAGUCUGCGCGCUCUGCUUCAGUGGCCUGGGGUUCACAGGUUCGGA